AAGGUUUGUUCCUUUCAUUUAUGGAGGAUAAUCCUGAAUGCCAUGAUCACAAUUUUCUAUUCAAGUUUCUAUUAUAAAUCUUGUAUUGGCCACGUUCAGGCCUGUUUUGAUGCACGUGUUCUGUUUGUUCCAUUGUUCAUUACUAACUCUGAAGGCUAUCUCAUGUUUUCAUUUAGGCUCCAGCCAUAAAGAAGAUUCCUCUCCCAACACCCCAGCAGCUUCUUGCCCUGGCACUUCCAGCAAAAGAUUUUCCUGCCACUGCCCCUAGAAAAGAUGGAGCCCAGUUGAUUCAAGAUCAGACACCACCACCCCUACCUCUACCAGUAUCUCCACAAGCUGCCCGCACUGGCCCAAUUAAGACAGGCGGUCGCGUCUUUUUCCUGGACCACGGCAAGUGGACAUAUUUUAAGAUAUUUUAAGCACCUGGCUAAGAAAAAGAACACCAGCUCUUCACUGAACACAAGUGAGGAGAGGUUCCAGGAGACUCAGAAGCUGUGGCAGCAUCUUACUACAGGAAGUGAGACAAUCAAGGUUACAGUCACUACCCUGCCACCAGCAGAAUUUAAUCCUCCCACCAGGAGUCCCCAGUGCCAGAAUCAUCUCUGACAAGACAUGAUGUAGACAGGAUGGUGAAGGAAAUUGUGGAGAAGCAGUAGGCACUACAUCAGCAACAACAAAAAAGACCAGCCAAAAUCCCUCUUCCUUGGUGACGGCACCACCAUUCUUUUUUUCAGUCAGCGGAAGUUAAAUACUUCUACUGCUCUCAAAAGGUGUUCAAGACCUAUGCAGCCGAG
rnacentral:lncRNA from 1 species